AAAAGUUUCCUUUGACUUUUGCAUGUUUAAUCAAGUAUUUCUUUCACCUUUUUUGCGUAAAUCUACUUGUUUUUGUUUAUGAUUUUUUUUCAAAUUUUGAAUUAUGUGCCAACCUUCAUUUGUCCUUUUCAUUCAGGAAUCUGUGAAGACCAAGCAUCCUCAGGGGAUCUCUGUUUAACCUCCACCCAGAUCAGGUCUUGUUGCAUUGCUUCGGGGGCCUUGAUUUGUAACAGUCUGUCAAUGCCCUUGUGUUGAGGUGACAUACUUUGACGGUAUCUACAACUUUGAACGUACUGUGAAACAGAUUUUGCCAAUUGUGUAACUAACAUUUAAGUGAAGUUUUCUUUACCGCCAACACAACCAUCUCAAACCAAAAC
rnacentral:lncRNA from 1 species